rnacentral:rRNA from 1 species
AGAGUUUGAUCCUGGCUCAGAAUAGANCGCUGGCGGCGGUGCUUAACACAUUGCAAGUCGAACGAGAAAGGGAUUGCUUGCAAUCCUGAGUAGAGUGGCGCACGGGUGAGUAACACGUAGAUAAUCUACCUCCAAGCCUGGGAUAACUAUUCGAAAGGGUAGCUAAUACCGGAUAAAGUAUGUUGACAAAAGUUGACCUAUGAAAGAUUGCCUCUUCUUGAAAGCAAUUGUUUGGAGAUGAGUUUGCGGACCAUUAGUUAGUUGGUAGGGUAACGGCCUACCAAGACUACGAUGGUUAGCUGGUCUGAGAGGAUGAUCAGCCACACUGGAACUGGUACACGGUCCAGACUCCUACGGGAGGCAGCAGUGAGGGAUUUUGCGCAAUGGGGGAAACCCUGACGCAGCAACGCCGCGUGAGUGAAGAAGGCCUUUGGGUCGUAAAACUCUGUCGACAGGGAAGAAAUUAUAUUUAUCCAAUAGGUGGAUAUAUUGACGGUACCUGUAGAGGAAGCACCGGCUAACUCCGUGCCAGCAGCCGCGGUAAUACGGGGGGUGCAAGCGUUAUUCGGAAUUAUUGGGCGUAAAGGGCGCGUAGGCGGUCUUGUCGGUCAGAUGUGAAAGCCCAGGGCUCAACCCUGGACGUGCAUUUGAAACAGCAAGACUUGAGUACGGGAGAGGAAAGCGGAAUUCCUGGUGUAGAGGUGAAAUUCGUAGAUAUCAGGAGGAACACCGAUGGCGAAGGCAGCUUUCUGGACCGAUACUGACGCUGAGGCGCGAAGGCGUGGGUAGCGAACAGGAUUAGAUACCCUGGUAGUCCACGCAGUAAACGAUGUUCACUAGGUGUGUCGGAUAUUAAAAUCUGAUGUGCCCAAGCUAACGCAUUAAGUGAACCGCCUGGGGAGUACGGUCGCAAGACUAAAACUCAAAGGAAUUGACGCGGGCCCCGCACAAGCGGU